CCAUUACCAUCGCUGCCGGGCGGCGUGGGCUGAGGUAGUAGAUUGUAUAGUUCUGGGUCACACCCGCGCGGAGAUAACUAUACAGCCUACUGUCUUUCCUGCGCUGUUCCCCUCUCACCGCUUCCACC
rnacentral:precursor_RNA from 14 species